AUGGCUGACAAAAAGCCCAAGAAAGGAGUCAAGACCCAAAAAAAUAACCAUAUAGAGUUGCAGUGGUGGGGUGGAAUGGUUCAGUGGUACAGCUCCAGAGUAUAUCACUUAGCAAACUAAUGAGAGCCUAUUGUUAACAACUGAUCUAUCAAUGAGGCAACUUGGUUUUGGAUGUGAUGGGAGGCCAAUUAAUGAAACACCUGUACAGGUGAAAAUGGAAGAUGAAGAUAUAAUUGAUGUGUAUACAAAGCAGACAGGAAGUAUCUACUAAAAGAAGAUCUGCACUUACUUGA
rnacentral:lncRNA from 1 species